GGCUGUAGCUGAGUAAUAGAGCACCUGCCUUCCAUGCAGAAGGUCCCAGGUUCAAUCCCUGGCAUCGCCA